UAUCACAGACCUUACCUUACCUUACCCACCCACCAAUACCAUUUAUAUUUGUCUGUGUUAGCGAAAGUGCUUUUUAUCUUUGGUGGCUAGUGGUGACCAAAUUAAAGCAAAGGCACUGAAGGGAAGAUGAAAGACGAAGAUGGCCAAAGCCAAAUUGCAGGGGGGAAGGGACAGUACAAGAAGUUGUGGUGGGUGGUGGGUGUUAUAAUUCUUCUUGCUCUUUGGGUGUUAUAAUUCUUCUUCGAUUCUACCACUCUCCAUGAUUUCGAUGUCCUCUAAGAGUGGCUUACCUCGUUUUUGGAAUGAUGCUUUUCAUGCGGCUUACGACCACUUGGUCAGUGAUGUUCGGAGCGUCCGAGAUGCUGCUGUCUCCGAAAUUGCCAAGAUGUCCCUCCACUCUCUUCCUCUACACCACCUCAAAUCACACUCCAUUGUGCAGAAUAUCAUGGGAUCAAGAAAAAUGAAGCAAGCAGAGAGUAGCAUGGACACUACAAUUGACAAUAACCAAUAACAAGACUUGUUACUUUUGCUGUUCAACAUCGGAACCCAUUUGACACUGAUGUGCACACCUCGACAGACUGAAAUUGAUUGUUUAAGAGCAGUACACACGAAAACACUCCCUCACCCGUGUCUGAGUAUUACUUUCCAAGUUAAUAAAAAACUAUUUUGUAUAGGUUUCGGCAUUGGGAUAUAUACAACCAAAUAAUUGUAUAAAUAUUAUGUAUCCCAUCUUGUAUAUUACGUAUUUACGCUAGCAAUGUCAUUGAAUGAAUGUACCGAAGACAAUUGCUUUCUUGGACAGUUAUCAAAAACUGUUAUAAGUUACAACGAAUGGCACGAAGAAAAUGGUUUGCUAAAUAAA